CGGGCCGUGAAGUGCCGUGGUAGACCUGGCUCAUCGUGCCCGUACUUGUUGGGGGAUUAGUGGCGAACGGGUGAGUAACACGUGAGUAACCUGCCCUUGACUCUGGGAUAAGCCUGGGAAACUGGGUCUAAUACCGGAUACGACCAUCUGGCGCAUGUCAUGGUGGUGGAAAGCUUUUGUGGUUUUGGAUGGACUCGCGGCCUAUCAGCUUGUUGGUGGGGUAAUGGCCUACCAAGGCGACGACGGGUAGCCGGCCUGAGAGGGUGACCGGCCACACUGGGACUGAGACACGGCCCAGACUCCUACGGGAGGCAGCAGUGGGGAAUAUUGCACAAUGGGCGCAAGCCUGAUGCAGCGACGCCGCGUGAGGGAUGACGGCCUUCGGGUUGUAAACCUCUUUCAGUAGGGAAGAAGCCGUGAGGUGACGGUACCUGCAGAAGAAGCGCCGGCUAACUACGUGCCAGCAGCCGCGGUAAUACGUAGGGCGCAAGCGUUAUCCGGAAUUAUUGGGCGUAAAGAGCUCGUAGGCGGUUUGUCGCGUCUGCUGUGAAAGACCGGGGCUCAACUCCGGUUCUGCAGUGGGUACGGGCAGACUAGAGUGCAGUAGGGGAGACUGGAAUUCCUGGUGUAGCGGUGAAAUGCGCAGAUAUCAGAGGAACACCGAUGGCGAAAGCAGGUCUCUGGGCUGUAACUGACGCUGAGGAGCGAAAGCAUG
rnacentral:rRNA from 1 species